rnacentral:rRNA from 1 species
AUUGAACGCUGGCGGCAUGCCUUACACAUGCAAGUCGAACGGCAGCACGGGUGCUUGCCCCUGGUGGCGAGUGGCGAACGGGUGAGUAAUACAUCGGAACAUGUCCUGUCGUGGGGGAUAGCCCGGCGAAAGCCGGAUUAAUACCGCAUACGAUCUACGGAUGACAGCGGGGGACCUUCGGGCCUCGCGCUAUAGGGUUGGCCGAUGGCUGAUUAGCUAGUUGGUGGGGUGAAGGCCUACCAAGGCGGCGAUCAGUAGCUGGUCUGAGAGGACGACCAGCCACACUGGGACUGAGACACGGCCCAGACUCCUACGGGAGGCAGCAGUGGGGAAUUUUGGACAAUGGGCGAAAGCCUGAUCCAGCAAUGCCGCGUGUGUGAAGAAGGCCUUCGGGUUGUAAAGCACUUUUGUCCGGAAAGAAAUCCUUGGCCCUAAUACGGUCGGGGGAUGACGGUACCGGAAGAAUAAGCACCGGCUAACUACGUG